ncrna:unclassified sequences c4-2 RNA
UAGCCCUUUGUAUGGUGGUGGUAGUGGAAACGCCCACAUGGUUACUAUGAUAGCCAAGGACACCUAAGCAAGGGGCGUUU